rnacentral:ncRNA from 2 species
GUCCGUUCAUCAUCGCAGCGUAGCUGCUUUGACGCAUGACGCCUACUCAUGGAACGGGGGUAGGU